rnacentral:rRNA from 1 species
AACGAACGCUGGCGGCAUGCCUAACACAUGCAAGUCGAACGAGAACUUCGGGUCCAGUGGCGCAUGGGUGUGUCACGCGUGGGAAGAUGACCACAGGGUUGGACUAACUCAGAGAAAUUUGUGAUAAUAGCGGAUAAUGUCUUCGGACCAAAGAUUUAUUGCACUUGUAUGGACCAGCGUAGGAUUAGCUUGUUGGUGUGGUAAUGGCCUACCAAGGCGACGAUCCUUAGCUUGUCUGAGAGGCUGAUCAGCCACACUGAGACUGAGACACGGCCCAGACUCCUACGGGAUGCAGCAGUGGGUAAUAGUGCACCAUCGGCGAAAGCCUGAUCCAGCAAUGCCGCGUGAGUGAUGAAGGCCUUAGAGUUGUAAAGCUCUUUUACCAGGGAUGAUAAUGACAGUACCUAGAGAAUAAGCCCCGGCUAACUCCGUG